AGACGGAGGAUGCAAGCGUUAUCCGGAAUUAUUGGGCGUAAAGCGUCCGCAGGUGGAUUUACAAGUCUGCUGUUAAAGUGCAGAGCUUAACUCUGUAAAGGCGGUGGAAACUGUAAGUCU
rnacentral:rRNA from 1 species